GCACUGCUGAAAAGUCCUAAAAUAGGACGAAACGGCUGUCCAGUGC
rfam:Schistosoma haematobium scaffold1846_5, whole genome shotgun sequence.